rnacentral:rRNA from 1 species
CUGAUUUGAAGAGCUUGCUCAGAUAUGACGAUGGACAUUGCAAAGAGUGGCGAACGGGUGAGUAACACGUGGGAAACCUACCUCUUAGCAGGGGAUAACAUUUGGAAACAGAUGCUAAUACCGUAUAACAAUAGCAACCGCAUGGUUGCUACUUAAAAGAUGGUUCUGCUAUCACUAAGAGAUGGUCCCGCGGUGCAUUAGUUAGUUGGUGAGGUAAUGGCUCACCAAGACGAUGAUGCAUAGCCAAGUUGAGAGACUGAUCGGCCACAAUGGGACUGAGACACGGCCCAUACUCCUACGGGAGGCAGCAGUAGGGAAUCUUCCACAAUGGGCGAAAGCCUGAUGGAGCAACGCCGCGUGUGUGAUGAAGGGUUUCGGCUCGUAAAACACUGUUGUAAGAGAAGAAUGACAUUGAGAGUAACUGUUCAAUGUGUGACGGUAUCUUACCAGAAAGGAACGGCUAAAUACGUGCCAGCAGCCGCGGUAAUACGUAUGUUCCAAGCGUUAUCCGGAUUUAUUGGGCGUAAAGCGAGCGCAGACGGUUAUUUAAGUCUGAAGUGAAAGCCCUCAGCUCAACUGAGGAAUUGCUUUGGAAACUGGAUGACUUGAGUGCAGUAGAGGAAAGUGGAACUCCAUGUGUAGCGGUGAAAUGCGUAGAUAUAUGGAAGAACACCAGUGGCGAAGGCGGCUUUCUGGACUGUAACUGACGUUGAGGCUCGAAAGUGUGGGUAGC